rnacentral:rRNA from 1 species
UCCGUAGGGUGCAAGCGUUAAUUGGAAUUACUGGGCGUAAAGGGUGCGUAGGCGGUUCGUUAAGUCUGUCGUGAAAUCCCCGGGCUCAACCUGGGAAUGGCGAUGGAUACUGGCGAGCUAGAGUGUGUCAGAGGAUGGUGGAAUUCCCGGUGUAGCGGUGAAAUGCGUAGAGAUCGGGAGGAACAUCAGUGGCGAAGGCGGCCAUCUGGGACAACACUGACGCUGAAGCACGAAAGCGUGGGGAGCAAACAGG